rnacentral:rRNA from 1 species
UGCCAGCCGCCGCGGUAAUACAGAGGGUGCAAGCGUUAAUCGGAAUUACUGGGCGUAAAGGGCCCGUAGGUGGAAUGGUAAGUCGAAUGUGAAAGCCCUGGGCUCAACCUGGGAACUGCAUCCGAUACUGCCAAUCUAGAGUGCAAUAGAGGGUAGAGGAAUUUCUGGUGUAGCGGUGAAAUGCGUAGAUAUCAGAAGGAACAUCAGUAGCGAAGGCGUCUACCUGGGUUGUAACUGACACUGAGGGGCGAAAGCGUGGGUAGCGAACAGGAUUAGAUA